GUUUUCAGAGGAAGAAAGGAAACAGUGGCUGGAGGCCCUGGGUGGAAAAGAAGCUCUCAUCCAUACUUGUAAUAAAGCCAUCAUUCCAAGACCAGAAGGAGGUGCACAGCUGGAUACAAUGGGAUUCACGAUUCUCAGAAAGUGCAUCAGUGCUGUUGAGACACGAGGUA